GAUCAUGGCUCAGGAUGAACGCUAGCUACAGGCUUAACACAUGCAAGUCGAGGGGCAGCAUGGUCUUAGCCUGCUAAGGCCGAUGGCGACCGGCGCACGGGUGAGUAACGCGUAUCCAACCUGCCUUACACUCUUGGACAGCCUUCUGAAAGGGAGAUUAAUACAAGAUGUUAUCAUGAGUAAGCAUUUUCGCAUGAUUAAAGGUUUACCGGUGUAAGAUGGGAGUGCG
rnacentral:rRNA from 1 species